rnacentral:siRNA from 1 species
AUGGAUAGGGUUCGAGCUGGGUCU